AAGAAAUAAGGAAAGUCAGAGAAGGGGAAAAGGUGUCCUCGGGACACAGGGGCUCAGAUUUUCCCCUUGAACUCAGCAACCCUUCCGGCAGCUGAAUGAUCAAGACCAGGGAUGGACGAAUGAGCAGCUUCUCAGAUCUCAACAGAACCGCCAACAGCAGGAGCCAAGUUCAGAACUCCGGCGGCUCAGAUCUACUCAGGUAACCACCAAACAGGGCUCCGAUG
rnacentral:lncRNA from 1 species